rnacentral:rRNA from 1 species
ACGCUGGCGGCAGGCCUACNCAUGCAAGUCGAGCGGAUGAAGGGAGCUUGCUCUCUGAUUCAGCGGCGGACGGGUGAGUAAUGCCUAGGAAUCUGCCUGGUAGUGGGGGACAACGUCUCGAAAGGGACGCUAAUACCGCAUACGUCCUACGGGAGAAAGCAGGGGACCUUCGGGCCUUGCGCUAUCAGAUGAGCCUAGGUCGGAUUAGCUAGUUGGUGAGGUAAUGGCUCACCAAGGCGACGAUCCGUAACUGGUCUGAGAGGAUGAUCAGUCACACUGGAACUGAGACACGGUCCAGACUCCUACGGGAGGCAGCAGUGGGGAAUAUUGGACAAUGGGCGAAAGCCUGAUCCAGCCAUGCCGCGUGUGUGAAGAAGGUCUUCGGAUUGUAAAGCACUUUAAGUUGGGAGGAAGGGUUGUAGAUUAAUACUCUGCAAUUUUGACGUUACCGACAGAAUAAGCACCGGCUAACUCUGUGCCAGCAGCCGCGGUAAUACAGAGGGUGCAAGCGUUAAUCGGAAUUACUGGGCGUAAAGCGCGCGUAGGUGGUUUGUUAAGUUGAAUGUGAAAGCCCCGGGCUCAACCUGGGAACUGCAUCCAAAACUGGCAAGCUAGAGUAGGGCAGAGGGUGGUGGAAUUUCCUGUGUAGCGGUGAAAUGCGUAGAUAUAGGAAGGAACACCAGUGGCGANNGCGACCACCUGGGCUCAUACUGACACUGAGGUGCGAAAGCGUGGGGAGCAAACAGGAUUAGAUACCCUGGUAGUCCACGCCGUAAACGAUGUCACUAGCCGUUGGAUCCUUGAGAUUUUAGUGGCGCAGCUAACGCAUUAAGUUGACGCUGGGG